CAUACUGUCACACCACCCUGAGCAUACCUUAUCCCAUCUGAUCUCAGAAGCUAAUCAGGGUCAGGCCUGGGUAAUAUUGGAUGGGAGAAUGCUCAAUAAGUGCUAGUAGAAGUGAUGA
rnacentral:rRNA from 1 species